rnacentral:rRNA from 1 species
UACGUAGGGUGCAAGCGUUGUCCGGAAUUAUUGGGCGUAAAGAGCUCGUAGGCGGUUCGUCGCGUCGGCUGUGAAAACCCGGAGCUCAACUCCGGGCCUGCAGUCGAUACGGGCGGACUUGAGUGUUGCAGGGGAGACUGGAAUUCCUGGUGUAGCGGUGAAAUUCGUAGAUAUCUGGAGGAACACCGGUGGCGAAGGCGGCAUCCUGGACCGGCAUUGACGCUGAGGCGCGAAAGCUAGGGGAGCAAACGGGG